GCCCCGAUAGUGUAGUCCGGUAACGAAGUUCGUUCAUCGUUUUUGUGCUAACACCGAGAAACGAUUCCUAAUCUACGACCGGAAUCACUUGGUAACAAACAGCGAUUUCGUUGGAUAACCAAUCAUCUCGGAUUCUCGAUCCGAGGACGUGGGUUCGAAUCCCGCUCGGGGCA
rnacentral:tRNA from 1 species